GAAACCCAAGAAUGAGAAUUAACCCCAUGAUGGCAUACAAUUUGCAAAAGAAGACAACCCAAGGUAUCGCAAAUGGGGUAUGUUCAGAGUUUUUUUAGUAGCCAAAGUUAGCGUUUAUAAAUUUUUUGUAUUUUUAAACACAAACAAAUAUAAAUGCUAACUCUGGCCAGUGUUUGUGACUACUAAAAAAGACUGGGCAUGCCCCAUAUUGAAUACCAGGGGUUGUCUACUUUAAAAAAAAAAAAAAUGUAUAUGUGAGGUGUGAUUCAGAGAUUUGACAUAAGUGUUACAAUGUCAC